UUUGAGGGGAAUGUUGUCUGGCUCGAGGCCACUAACUAGAUCUACAAGUUUAUCUCAAUUGAUUUUCUUUUUCAAAUUGUUGAGGUAUCACUGAUGAUCAUGUGUUAGUGACGUCGGACCAGGCUUCAUUCCCCCCAAU
rnacentral:pre_miRNA from 1 species